rnacentral:rRNA from 1 species
AUUGAACGCUGGCGGCAGGCCUAACACAUGCAAGUCGAACGAGUGGCGGACGGGUGAGUAAUGUCUGGGAAACUGCCUGAUGGCGGGGGAUAACUACUGGAAACGGUAGCUAAUACCGCAUACCAUCAGAUGUGCCCAGAUGGGAUUAGCUUGUUGGUGGGGUAACGGCUCACCAAGGCGACGAUCCCUCGCUGGUCUGAGAGGAUGACCAGGAAACCUGGAACUGAGACACGGUCCAGAGUCUUACGGGGGGCAGAAGUGGGGAAAAUGGAACAAUGGGGGCAAGCUUGAUGCAGCCAUGCCGCGUGUAUGAAGAAGGCCUUCGGGUGGUAAAGUACUUUCAGCGGGGAGGCGUUACCCGCAGAAGAAGCACCGGCUAACUCCGUGCCAGCAGCCGCGGUAAUA